rnacentral:lncRNA from 1 species
UUUAUUAUAAUAAUGCAUUCAAAUAUAGUUAUACCAAGCAUGGUAUCAAUAAGCUACAAUGAACAAAGUGUCAACAUGAAGCACCUGAACCCCAAUGUGGGUAAUAAUAAAAGUAAUUAGAAAAAAUUAACAAUAAAAAGAAAAAAAAUUACAUCAAUUACAUAAUAAAAAGUGGCUGGAACAUGCUCUUUUGCUUAAAACCACAUGGUAAAAUAAACCCGGAUGAAGUAUCAAAGGGAAGCAAUCUCUUACAAGGCGUUAUCAAUUAGGUACAAUGAGAGUUGCCUCCAAUUGUACAAGGUAACAGAG